AGGGAUGAACUUCACAUAAAUGAAGACAUGGACAUGCACGAAAAUGCAAAACUUGAGAGGAAGAGACGAGAGGAAGCUAGGAUGAGCUUACGCUCUGGUCUGACUGGGCUUCCUCAGCCAAGGAACGAAUACCAAAUAGUUGCACAACCUCCUCCUGAAGAAAGUGAAGAGCCAGAAGAGAAAAUUGAGGAAGACAUGUCAGACAGGAUUGCUAGGGAAAAGGCUGAGGAGGAAGCAAGACAGCAAGCGCUGCUUAGGAAAAGGUCCAAGGUGUUGCAGAGAGAUCUUCCUAGACCUCCAGCAGCUUCGUUGGAACUGAUUAGGAAUUCGCUGCUUUCAGCCAACCGAGACAAAAGUUCUGUUGUUCCUCCUAGUCCAGUUGAUGAUGCAGAUGAAAUGGUAAGAAAGGAGCUUCUACAGUUGCUGGAGCAUGAUAAUGCAAAGUAUCCUCUUGAUGAGAAAGCUGAGAAAAAGAAAGGAGCCAAGAACCGUGCUAACAGUUCUGGUUCUCAAGUUGCUGCAAUUGAAGACUUUGAGGAAAAUGAACUCCAAGAGGUAUGAAUACGAACAAUAUAUUCCUUUAUCUCAGUUUACUUUUUUGUUAUUUAGUUGAUUUAUUUGUUGAGCUGCCUCUUGAAUUGAGUUCUUAGUUUGCUCUUGGUUUAUGGAUGGAUAGGUUGCUUGAUUGAUAUUAUGCAGAUGAGUGUAUAUCCGCCCUUACUUUGAAGCAACAUCUUUAAUCUGGUAUAAGUUAGUGGGUUCUAAAGGAAAUUGUCCGUGUUGUUUUUGGUAGGCUGACAAAUUGAUAAAGGAGGAGGCACAAUUUCUUUGCGCGGCAAUGGGAAACGAGAGCAAGACAUUUGACGAAUUCGUAGUAGCUCACGACGAUUGUGUGAAGGAUAUCAUGUACUUCCCCACUCGAAAUGCUUACGGGCCCUCAAGUGUUGCUGUGAAGGCAGAGAAAGUUGCAGCUUUGCAAGUGGAGAUGGAGAAUGCGAGGAAAAAGAUGGAGGAGGAUGAGAAGAAGGCAGAACACAUGAAAGCCAAGUAUAAAACUUAUACAAAGGGCCAUGAGGUAUAAUUAAUAUAAUCUACACUGCCUUUAUCUUAAUUCUGAAACUAAUUGGUUGAAUCACUUGAUAUUUAAUGAUUUAGUAUUUGUCCACUUUGACAGAAAAGAGCAGAGACCGUGUGGAGCCAGAUAGAGGCGGAAGCGAGAGCGAGGCUGGCUAACACCAGGGGAAAAAAGGCUAAGAGAAAAGCUAGAGAGAAGCAACUGGAGGAAGCGAGGAGGCUUGCUUCUCUGCAGAAGAGGAGAGAGUUGAAAGCGGCUGGGAUUGGGAACAGCCAUAGGAAAAGGAAGCGAAAGGGGAUUGAUUAUAAUGCAGAGAUUCCUUUUGAGAAGAGGGCGCCUGCGGGGUUUUAUGAUACUGCGGAUGAGGACCGUCCUGCUGACCAGGUGAAGUUUCCGACGACCAUUGAGGAUCUUGAAGGGAAAAGAAGGGCUGAUGUGGAAGCGCAGUUGCGGAAGCAAGAUGUUGCUAGGAACAAGAUUGCUGAGAGAAGGGAUGCUCCAGCGGCUAUAUUGCAAGCGAACAAGAUGAAUGAUCCUGAAGCUGUUAGGAAGAGGUCGAAGCUGAUGUUACCACCACCGCAGAUUUCAGACCACGAGCUAGAGGAGAUUGCAAAGAUGGGGUAUGCUAGUGACCUUCUUGCGGAGAAUGAGGAGCUGACAGAAGGCAGUGCUGCAACUCGUGCGCUUUUGGCAAAUUACUCGCAGACACCAAGGCAAGGAAUGACACCAUUGAGGACGCCUCAAAGAACUCCUGCUGGUAAAGGUGAUGCUAUUAUGAUGGAAGCUGAGAACCUGGCUAGGUUGAGAGACUCUCAGACACCUUUGCUAGGAGGAGAUAAUCCUGAGUUGCACCCUUCUGACUUUACUGGGGUUACUCCGAGGAAGAAAGAGAUUCAAACGCCUAAUCCAAUGUUGACCCCAUCGAUGACGCCUGGUGGAGCUAGUCUUACUCCCAGAAUUGGCUUGACGCCAUCAAGGGAGGGUUCUUCUUUUGCUAUGACACCCAGAGGUACUCCCUUCAGGGAUGAACUUCACAUAAAUGAAGACAUGGACAUGCACGAAAAUGCAAAACUUGAGAGGAAGAGACGAGAGGAAGCUAGGAUGAGCUUACGCUCUGGUCUGACUGGGCUUCCUCAGCCAAGGAACGAAUACCAAAUAGUUGCACAACCUCCUCCUGAAGAAAGUGAAGAGCCAGAAGAGAAAAUUGAGGAAGACAUGUCAGACAGGAUUGCUAGGGAAAAGGCUGAGGAGGAAGCAAGACAGCAAGCGCUGCUUAGGAAAAGGUCCAAGGUGUUGCAGAGAGAUCUUCCAAGACCUCCAGCAGCUUCGUUGGAACUGAUUAGGAAUUCGCUGCUUUCAGCCAACCGAGACAAAAGUUCUGUUGUUCCUCCUAGUCCAGUUGAUGAUGCAGAUGAAAUGGUAAGAAAGGAGCUUCUACAGUUGCUGGAGCAUGAUAAUGCAAAG
rnacentral:lncRNA from 1 species